rfam:Candidatus Roizmanbacteria bacterium RIFCSPLOWO2_01_FTLL_45_11 rifcsplowo2_01_scaffold_120195, whole genome shotgun sequence.
AAAAGAGCUUUGCGCAGAGUUUUCGUAGUAAUACGAAAUAAGGAAAAUCUCACUAUAUGCUGGAAAACCUAUUUAUGUCCGCUAAUUUUUUUGAUAUUAUGAUAUCAAGACAUGUAAAUAGAUAAUCAGCAGGCAACCCCGAUGUUUCAUUGGGGGCGCCUCAGAGACUACACGUGAGACCCCUAAAUCAUAUCAGUUUAGGGUGAUGAUAUAGUCCAGUUAAAUCGUAUGAACGAA